GUAGUCUCGCACAGAUGCAUAUCAAUAAGCGGAGGAAAAGAAACUAACAAGGAUUCCCCUAGUAACGGCGAGUGAAGCGGGAAGAGCUCAAAUUUGAAAUCUUAAAGGGUUUCCCUUUACGAAUUGUAGUUUAAAGAAGUGUUUUCUGUUGAGGUUUUGGUAAAAGUUCUUUGGAAUAGGACAUCAUAGAGGGUGAGAAUCCCGUAUUUGACCUUUACUUUCAACUUUGUGAUACACUUUCAAAGAGUCGGAUUGUUUGGGAAUGCAGUCCAAAAUGGGUGGUAAAUUUCAUCUAAAGCUAAAUAUUGGCGAGAGACCGAUAGCGAACAAGUACCGUGAGGGAAAGAUGAAAAGAACUUUGAAAAGAGAGUUAAACAGUACGUGAAAUUGUCAAAAGGGAAGCGUUUGACACCAGUGUUGUUUUCUCGAAAAUCAAUUAAAAAGAGUUUGAUUUUGUUGUGUAUUGACCUUAACAGCUUGCAUUUCAAUUUUCUUGCCUUUUUUAAUGCACUUUUCGUUUAACAAGUCAACAUCAGUUUCUUUUGUUGUAAAAAGGUCAUUGGAAGGUGGCUUUCUUUUCGGAGAAAGUGUUUAUAGCCUUUGACUCCUGCAAUCGGAGAGGCUGAGGUCUGCAGCGUAGAUCCUUCGGGGUUAGAUACAUUUGUGCUAAGUUAUAGCUUUUUAUAGACAACUUGUUGACUAUGAUUAGUCUUGUAGCUUACUCGCUUAUGCUAUUUUACCUACGCUUAGGAUGUUGAUAUGCAUGACUGAUAU
rnacentral:rRNA from 1 species